AACGAACGCUGGCGGCAUGCCUAACACAUGCAAGUCGAACGAAACCUUCGGGUCUAGUGGCGCACGGGUGCGUAACGCGUGGGAACCUGCCCUUAGGUUCGGAAUAACUCCCCGAAAGGGGUGCUAAUACCGGAUAAUGUCUUCGGACCAAAGAUUUAUCGCCUUUGGAUGGGCCCGCGUUGGAUUAGCUAGUUGGUAGGGUAAAAGCCUACCAAGGCGACGAUCCAUAGCUGGUCUGAGAGGAUGAUCAGCCACACUGGGACUGAGACACGGCCCAGACUCCUACGGGAGGCAGCAGUGGGGAAUAUUGGACAAUGGGCGAAAGCCUGAUCCAGCAAUGCCGCGUGAGUGAUGAAGGCCUUAGGGUUGUAAAGCUCUUUUACCCGGGAUGAUAAUGACAGUACCGGGAGAAUAAGCGCCGGCUAACUCCGUG
rnacentral:rRNA from 1 species